rnacentral:rRNA from 1 species
GACGUAGGGUGCGAGCGUUGUCCGGAUUUACUGGGCGUAAAGAGCGCGUAGGCGGCCUGUCAAGUCAACUGUGAAAUCUCCGGGCUUAACUCGGAACGGUCAGUUGAUACUGUCAGGCUAGAGUGCAGAAGGGGCAAUCGGAAUUCUUGGUGUAGCGGUGAAAUGCGUAGAUAUCAAGAGGAACACCUGAGGUGAAGACGGGUUGCUGGGCUGACACUGACGCUGAGGCGCGAAAGCCAGGGGAGCAAACGGG